UAACAUCUGGUGUUUACUUCAGCAGGAAUUAGAACAAAAUGGAGAAGAGUAACUAAGGUGGCUCCUGCACAAGGGUGACACACAAAUUCAUGAAGCGUUACAUAUUUUU
rnacentral:snRNA from 1 species